CUUUACGCUGUGGAGGUUGAAUGGGACGCACACUCUGCCAAGCAUUUCCAGGAGGGCUGAGGACAUAAUCUAGCUUAUGAUUCUAUAAGACACAAUAAGUAAACCAUUGACAAUUAUACCCUAACAAAUAAAUAAACAAAUAAGUCAAUCUUGGGGCAGCCUUCCCUGUGUUUGAAUAUUUUCAUUAUGUUUCUUGCUCAGAGGCAGUUUGUUAUCCACCCAGCUGGGGAAUGGAAUGCUCCUUUCCUCUCUAAUAUCCAUUCUCUCCUUUGUUUGUGCUAGAACCCCCAGUUAUUAGCUAGGCACACGCCCACCCAGAAUAAAGACUAUUUCCUAGCCUCCUGAUUGCUAGACAAGACUAUGAGACCAAAUUUUGGCCAAUGGGAUGUUAAUGGAAAUGUUGGAUGUAAUAGCUGAUAAAUAUUUUUAUUUAUUUCUUUAUUUUGGAGACAGAAUCUUGCUUUUACUGCUCAAGCUGGAGUGCAGUGGUGCCAUCAAAGCUCACUGCAGCCUCAACCUCCUGGGAUCAAGUGAUCCUCCCGCCUCAGCCUCCUGAGUAGCUGGGACCACAGUUGUCAGCCAUCAUGCCCAACUAAUUUUUAAAAUUUUCGUAGACACAGAGUCUCCCUACAUUGCCCAUCCUGGUCUCAGUAACUCCCGGGCUCAAUCAGUUCUCCUGCCUCAGCUUCCCAAAGUGCUGGAAUUAUAGGGGUGAGCCACAAAGGCCAGUCUGUGAAGUGUUUUUAAAUGGUAAGGUGUAGGUUCAUUUUUGCACCUUCCUCCUCCUCACUGCUUGGAAAAAGGAGAUGAGAUGGUAGGAGCCAAGCAGACUUCCAGGACCAGGAAGCCGACAGAGCAGGAGGGAGAAAGGAGCCUGAAUCCAGUAAUACACAAUAUUGGCAACAAUGCAACAAAAUGGACACACUCUACUCUCCAGCGGGAGUUUCAGAAAUAUGCCAUAAUGGAACAAGAUAACUAAAAGAAGAAAACUACCUCAAGGUAUGUCCUUUUUAAUCUACAGUCCAAUUCCCAAUUGCUUUAUAAAUGGGCUUUUCUCCCCCGAUCUCCUCAGGGCAUUGCAAUCACCUAUACCAACUGGAGAAUUUUCAAAUACAUGUUUUUUCAAACUGUUGUGUCAAGUUUGGCAGCUGAUGGGUAGUUUUUUUCUUUAAUAACUGCUCUUAUAUAUUCAUUCAUUCAUUCACUGUUUCCAUUAGCU
rnacentral:lncRNA from 1 species